GAUGAACGCUGGCGGCGUGCCUAAUACAUGCAAGUCGAGCGAACAGACGAGGAGCUUGCUCCUCUGACGUUAGCGGCGGACGGGUGAGUAACACGUGGAUAACCUACCUAUAAGACUGGGAUAACUUCGGGAAACCGGAGCUAAUACCGGAUAAUAUAUUGAACCGCAUGGUUCAAUAGUGAAAGACGGUUUUGCUGUCACUUAUAGAUGGAUCCGCGCCGCAUUAGCUAGUUGGUAGGGUAACGGCUUACCAAGGCGACGAUGCGUAGCCGACCUGAGAGGGUGAUCGGCCACACUGGAACUGAGACACGGUCCAGACUCCUACGGGAGGCAGCAGUAGGGAAUCUUCCGCAAUGGGCGAAAGCCUGACGGAGCAACGCCGCGUGAGUGAUGAAGGUCUUCGGAUCGUAAAACUCUGUAAUUAGGGAAGAACAAAUGUGCAAGUAACUAUGCACGUCUUGACGGUACCUAAUCAGAAAGCCACGGCUAACUACGUG
rnacentral:rRNA from 1 species